UACGUAGGCAGCGAGCGUUGUUCGGAAUUACUGGGCGUAAAGAGUGUGUAGGCGGUGCUCUAAGUUCGGCGUGAAAUCUCCUGGCUCAACUGGGAGGGUGCGCCGGAAACUGGAGUGCUUGAGCGUGGGAGAGGAAAGCGGAAUUCCUGGUGUAGCGGUGAAAUGCGUAGAUAUCGGGAGGAACACCGGUGGCGAAGGCGGUUCUCUGGGCCUGUACUGACGCUGAGGAGCGAAAGCGUGGGGAGCGAACAGG
rnacentral:rRNA from 1 species